UUCUGCAAGGCUCUGGUUGGCAUUCUGUUAAGCAGAUACACUGAGGUGCAGUAAGCUGAUGUUCAAUUCCAGAUUCAUCACAGAAUUGCUGAAAUCUCCCACAGUGAAGCUGUACUCAAAGGACCUCCAACGUCUGUAUGUACCAGCUGAAGUUUUCGUGUUGCUCUCCAGGUUGCAUGAGGGAAAGGUUUUCUGGCCUGCUUACCAUAUUGACAUGCUGCACAGUUUGCUGACCUGUUCUCCAGUUGUGCCACUAUCAAUCAACCAAGAAUCAUUCGAACUAUUUCCUGUUGAAAAACAUGAUGCAACAAACAGCUGCUCCUCUUCAGAAUCCAAAUUCAUGAUUCUUGUGAAUACUGUAUUUGAUACUGCAGCAUAUAAGCAAGCUUUGGCCUUGGAUUUUCUUGUCUUCUUCUCCUUGUGAAUCUUUAGUUGGGCUAUAGUUGGAUUUGCAGGCAAGUCAGGAACAACAUAGUUUUCUUCCACAGCUUCCCAGAGAUCUAGCGCCUCCAGAUGCACUGUCAUUCUGAUGGCCCAUGUUUCAUAGUUUUCACCAUUGAAGAUUGGUGGUGAACCGUAACACAAGUGCAUGCAAAACAGACGUAAAGAAGAGUUUGUAGAAGAAUAAUAUUAUUGAUCUCAGAAUUCUCUUUAAAUAGAGUUAGAGUUUUACUUGGAAACAAAGACAAUU